rnacentral:rRNA from 1 species
AUGGCGCAGAAUUCGCCCACGGUUCCCUCACAUCGACUAUCCCUUGUCGAGCUAGCCAAGCAACAGAAACUAUAUGAACCUAGCUCCGAUGACCAAGACUGUCCCAUAGUUAAAGCUAUAAGUAUACCAAAGGGUGAACUCGACUACGGCCCUCGCGGUUGGCGAGCGAGACAGUCCAAACUAGCUUACUCAUAUUACCCAUUGGCGGCUUCACCGCGAACUGAUACAGCUUUCUGUCUGGGUACUAGGAUGGUAUCCAAAGGUCUGACUUGGGAACGUCAUGAUAUUGAGUAUAUGCCCCGUCCUUCAGGUUAUAAUGAAUGGGGGGCAAACAUCUUACGGAAUCAUUCUUUUUCCCUAAAAGGACUUGGUGAAGGUUCAGAUUACCUAUGUGGAGCCAUUUACUGCUCUUUGGGUGAUUAUUCUAUUUCCCCUGCCUUGCUAAGAUCUCUGUUAGAAAAAUGGGAUCCAAAAACCAACACGUUCCUAUUCUCAUGUGGUGAACGCACUAUUACACUCCUUGAUAUGUAUCAAAUGGCUGGUCUCCCUCUGGAUGGAGACUUAUAUGAAGAAUUUAUCCCACCAGAACACGCACUAGACCCCUCCCUUUGCCAAUUCCCUGACUUCUUGGCAGACCUAUUAUCCACACAUGAUCAUCUUGCCAAGAAUAAUGGCGGCCACGUGACUUUCCAGGUCUGGUGUGACUAUUUUCACAACCGGCGAGACCACUCUGUUCCUUACGCGUCUCUUCGUGAGGUACGCUUGUAUGUCGCGGCGUACAUUGCUGUUUGGUUGUGCUACUUUGUUGUCAUUGGCGGGGGAGCCUAUGUUCGCGCUCGCGCUGGUGUCCUUGUGAUGGCGUCCUGGAUCGCUCUAGGGCGUCGAAUUUCAUUAGCUCCACCAGCACUUUGCUCUAUCUAUUUUUCGCUUCGUCACAUCAGCACCCAUCCUGUAGGACCCUGCUAUCGGAUUAGGGGAUGGCCUGUCCAUUUCAUUAUCGGCUGGAUGGGGGUUUAUCUGAAGAAUGUAUUUGGUAAACGAGCAAAAGUGAGCAAAUUUCCAACUCCUAAGCUUUGUCCAGGGAGAUUAUCUAUGGUGGGGACUAUGUUUAGGAUUCCACACGAUUUUAGCCCUGAAAAGGCGCACGAUUUCUUUGAGAAACACAAGAAUAUUGUGUGGUACCCCUCAAAUUUCUCUGACUUGGCUAGUACUUGUUGGUUGCAAAAAGCAUUCACCAUUUCCAUCCGUCGAGGGAUGCUACCAUGGAGAAGGUCUGAUUAUGAUGACGACUUGUGCAUUGUUGAGCCAUAUCAUCCUGACCGGGUGGCUCGACAAUUCAAAUUGGAUCAGCAAGUACCAUAUACUCCAUUGCGCAGUUUAUAUAUAAUAGAUGACAUUAGCGUUGCUUAUGCACACUGGUGGCAUUUAUUGCGCUCGAAUCCGAAACAUACUCACUAUAUUCCCAACAAAGAUUUUGUGGGCAAUUCCUCAGUGGCAUGGACAAACUGGUGGACUAUUUUCAUCCAACCUUUCACUAGCGUUCUAGGCCUACUUCGUCAAGAAGGGGAUCUUGUCGUAGUAAAGAAGUUGUCUGCUGAACGGCAAGAGGAAUAUCUUGCAGCUAUUGAGGCAAGAGAAAUGCCGGCAGUGAAUCAUUGGAGGGACAUCUUAAGAGGUUACACCUUGGAUAACAAUGCCCCACCGCCUUUGUUGCAACAGAAGCGGAAAAAUAAUCCAAAUGAUGUUUCUGCAAGUUCCUCUUCCAAUCCUCGACUACUUAUAAGCGUGACCGUAUCAGGCACGCGUUUAAAUGCAAGGAAGGAGGGUACUGACAUUUUGGUUGAUGGGAGUUCAGAGGGACCUAGUCCAAAUGCAACAAUCUCUUUCGAUGGGGAGGAGAGACCUGCUGUCAAAAGGAAGAUUGAUUCUUCUCUUGGAGAAAGCCCAUGUAACCUAGACGAGUUGGUUGAAUUUAUGCAUGAACUUGGUGAUACAGGGACUGAUGAUAAUAUCAUAGGUUCUGAUCUAUCAUUUGAAGAUUUUAAUAUAUCAGAACCAUCUCUUAAUCUUCCAACUCCCCCCACUAUCAUUUAUCUUGCCGCUCCUUCUUAUCGCCAGGUGGCAGUUCGGUCGAUGCUCCCUGCUGGUGACGUUGUUCCCCAAAUUGCCCCUGUCCGUGCGGCUUGGGAAAAAUUUGUUUCGAUAUCAGAUACAGUGCAAGAAACCCGCAGAACCAUUGAGGAUCAGUCAAAGCAAAAGUCUGAAUUUGUUACUGCAGCAGAGAGCAGGGCUGAAUCCAUUGAAGCAUCUCUGAAAACUUCAGCAGAAGAGAUGUCAUCCAUACUGGAGAAACAAGCUGAGAAUAAGGAACGUGUGGAGGCCCUCUCUGCUCAACUGCAAGAAGCUACUGCUGAGUUGCUUACCACUGAUGAAAGGGUCAAGCAACUAGAGUCAGACCGUUCCGCCAAGCAAGCUGAAGCCAAGAAGUUGCACGAAGAUUUGCUCGAAGCUAAUGUGAAAGCUUCCGAGGAAUUGGAGGCUCUUAAAGGGAAGACAUGGACGCUGGAGGACGAAGCCAAGUCUAUUAUUAUAAGUCUGAAGGACUGGCGCUCCAUGUCGAAUUGA